rnacentral:rRNA from 1 species
GUCUAUGGCCAUACCACCCUGAAUGUACCUGAUCUCAUCUGAUCUCGGAAGCUAAGCAGGGUUGGGCCUGGUUAUCACUUGGAUA